rnacentral:snRNA from 1 species
AGCUUUGCGCAGUGGCAGUAUCGUAGCCAAUGAGGUUUAUCCGAGGCACGAUUAUUGCUAAUUGAAAAAAUAAUUGGGAGACCAUUGAUGAUAUUGGUUUGAAAUGGAGUAAAACCCAUGUCAAAGAAAGUAAGGAGACGCUUUCUGUG